rnacentral:rRNA from 1 species
AUGCUUAGGUCUUGCCACUUCUCCGUAGUCGCUACUUGGACGGCUUUGUUGAUGGCACUCUACCGUGCCUCCGUCGUAUCACCCGGGGCAUCAUGCGUGGGUGGGUCAAGAUCAGGCCAUCCUUUCUGCCAUCCAGUCCUCUCUUACGGAGGGGGUCUCGUCACUAGUCAUCUUCGCCGCUACGUCUCGGGACGCGUGGAUGACCCUUCAUACCAGCUUUGCUUCGCAGUCUCAGGCGCGGGCUCACGCCAUCCGCACUGCGCUUGGGGAGGUGAAGCUUCAUGA